rnacentral:rRNA from 1 species
UGGCUCAGGACGAACGCUGGCGGCGUGCCUAAUACAUGCAAGUCGAGCGAACUGAUGAAGAGCUUGCUUUUGAUCAGUUAGCGGCGGACGGGUGAGUAACACGUGGGUAACCUGCCUGUAAGACUAGGAUAACUCCGGGAAACCGGGGCUAAUACUGGAUAACUUUUCUCUCCGCAUGGAGAGAGAUUGAAAGAUGGCUUCGGCUAUCACUUACAGAUGGACCCGCGGCGCAUUAGCUAGUUGGUGAGGUAACGGCUCACCAAGGCAACGAUGCGUAGCCGACCUGAGAGGGUGAUCGGCCACAUUGGGACUGAGACACGGCCCAAACUCCUACGGGAGGCAGCAGUAGGGAAUCUUCCGCAAUGGACGAAAGUCUGACGGAGCAACGCCGCGUGAGUGAAGAAGGUCUUCGGAUCGUAAAACUCUGUUGUUAGGGAAGAACAAGUAUCGUUCGAAUAGGGCGGUACCUUGACGGUACCUAACCAGAAAGCCACGGCUAACUACGUGCCAGCAGCCGCGGUAAUACGUAGGUGGCAAGCGUUGUCCGGAAUUAUUGGGCGUAAAGCGCGCGCAGGCGGUCUUUUAAGUCUGAUGUGAAAGCCCACGGCUCAACCGUGGAGGGUCAUUGGAAACUGGAAGACUUGAGUGCAGAAGAGGAGAGUGGAAUUCCACGUGUAGCGGUGAAAUGCGUAGAGAUGUGGAGGAACACCAGUGGCGAAGGCGACUCUCUGGUCUGUAACUGACGCUGAGGCGCGAAAGCGUGGGGAGCAAACAGGAUUAGAUACCCUGGUAGUCCACGCCGUAAACGAUGAGUGCUAAGUGUUAGAGGGUUUCCGCCCUUUAGUGCUGCAGCUAACGCAUAAGCACU